rnacentral:misc_RNA from 1 species
GUUUGGGGUUACAUUUUAGGAGCUGAAUGUGCUAAAAAAUGCGCAAUCUUACCAUAUUCGAAUGAUAAAGAAAAGCUUUGUGGAUUGAAUUACUGAUUAAUUCGUAUUAUUAGCAUUUUCUUUAAAGUUUUUUGUCCUUUCGUUUUUGUGUAUGGUCAAAUAUUAAUUAUGGCUUUAAGAGAUUAUCACAUUAGAUGAAGCUCUAUUGGAGAGAGGAAAAUAAAAAUUAAUCAAGGGAUUAUGGUGUUAAUUGGGCACGGACCAUGUUUAGUUUACACUUCUAAACACUGGGUUGGGUUCUAGAAGUGAAUGAAUUGGGGAGUGGAAGGAAACAAGUUGCUUGCUUGAAUCGUUUUAGCUUGAAAGUUUGCCUCCAGUUUUUUGGGGUUCAAAUAUGGUUGAUAAUAACAUGCUCUCCUCUUAAAGUGCCUUUGAGUUUGACACCUUAUUCCUUUUUUUAAUUUACUCAUUCUGUGCAAUCUGUAAUCUUUUCAUGUUGUAUUAUCUGACCUCUACCUUGAUUUGCAAUUGUUACAGAGGUGUUCAGUAUGGCGUCAU